rnacentral:lncRNA from 1 species
UGUUCAUAUUCUCACUCCUGGGCAGGACAAGCUUUCCGCCAAAACCAUGAAGUGCCUCUUCUUGGGAUACUCCAGACUUCAGAAGGGUUAUCGUUGUUAUUCCCUUGAGACUCAUCGAUACUUUAUCUCCGCUGAUGUCACCUUCUUUGAGGGCUCACCAUUCUUUUCCACCACUUUUGAGUCUCUUCCUGUUUCUGAAGUCUUGCCUAUUCCCAUUGUCUCCCCACCUGAUGCUAUGCCUCCUCGACCACUGCAGGUUUAUCAUCGUUGCCCUCGUAUCGUUGCUCCUCUCCCUUUUGCUGAGGCACCUACUGACUCACUUCCUAUCCCUUCGGCUUCACCUGCCCCGGCUCUGCCUUCUCCUAAUGACUUACCCAUUACUGUUCGGAAAGGUACUCGCUCUACUCGUAAUCCUCAUCCUAUUUACAAUUUUUUGAGUUAUCAUUGAUUAUCUUCACCCUAUUCUGCUUUUGUUUAUGCUAUAUCCUCUGUUUCUCUUCCAAAGAGCACCCAUGAAGCUCUUUCCCAUCCAGGCUGGCGACAGGCAAUGGUGGAUGAAAUGACUGCUCUGCACUUUAAUGGCACUUGGGAUCUUGUUGUUUUACCCUCUAGUAAAUCUACCGUUGGCUAUCAUUGGGUCUACGCAGUUAAGGUUGGUCCUGAUGGUCAGGUUGAUCGCCUUAAGGCCCGCUUAGUUGCUAAAGGCUAUACUCAGGUUUAUGGUUCUGAUUAUGGUGACACAUUCUCUCUUGUUGCUAAGAUUGCUUUUGUCCGUCUGCUUCUCUCCAUGGCUGCUAUGUGUUCUUGGCCUCUUUAUCAGUUGGAUAUUAAAAAUGCCUUCCUUCAUGGGGAUCUUGCCGAGGAAGUUUAUAUGGAGCAACCUCCUGGUUUUGUUGCUCAGGGGGAGUUUGGUUUCGUAUGCAGGUUAUGUCGUUCUCUAUAUGGCUUGAAACAAUCUCCUCGAGCAUGGUUUGGUCGUUUUAGUUCUAUUGUUCAAGAGUUUGGCAUGCUUCGCAGUACAGCAGACCAUUCAGUUUUCUAUCAUCAUAACUCUUUGGGGCAGUGUAUUUAUCUGGUUGUUUAUGUGGACGACAUCGUCAUUACAGGCAGUGAUCAGGAUGGUAUUCAGAAACUAAAGCAACAUCUUUUUACCCUCUUUCAAACCAAAGACUUGGGGAAACUCAAGUAUUUCUUGGGAAUUGAGAUAGCUCAAUCCAGUUCUGGUGUGGUCCUUUCCCAAAGGAAGUAUGCUUUAGACAUCCUAGAAGAAAUCGGUAUGUUAGACUGUAAACCGGUAGACACACCUAUGGAUCCGAAUGUCAAAGUUGUACCAGGACAGGGGGAGCCUCUAGGAGACCCCAGGAGAUAUCGACAACUCGUAGGUAAAUUGAACUAUCUUACCAUUACUAGUCCAGACAUUUCUUUUCCUAUGAGUGUUGUUAGUCAAUUCCUAUAGUCACCAUGUGAUAGCCAUUGGGAUGUCGUAAUCCGCAUUCUUCGAUAUAUCAAAAGUACACCAGGCCAAGGUGUGUUGUACGAGAACAGAGGUCAUACUCAGGUUGUUGGUUACACAGAUGCAGAUUGGGCUGGCUCACCCACAGAUAGAUGUUCCGCUUCAGGGUACUGUGUUUUUAUUGGAGGUAAUCUAAUAUCUUGGAAGAGUAAAAAACAAGAUGUAGUGGCCAGAUCUAGCGCUGAAGCCGAGUGUCGAGCUAUGGCUUUGGCAACAUGUGAACUCAUAUGGUUGAGACAUCUUCUUCGAGAGUUGAGAUUUGGAAAGGAUGAACAGAUGAAACUCAUCUAUGAUAACCAAGCUGCAUUACAUGAAUGAGAAUUAAGGUCUUUCUUCUUUCUCUCUCUCUCAACAUGGGACACCCAUUUUUUCUAUGUUUGUUCUAUGUUCCUUUUCUCCUCCAAACUCACCUUCCCAUCAUCUGCAACCCACGCCCAAGCCCACACUGAUGCCGACGCUAGUGCCAAUGACACUAUGGAGAUGAAGUAGAGAGAUGAGAAAUCAACACCCACGACCGUCUACACCUUUCCCUCUUUUGAUCGAACCUCAAAGACAUGUAGAGGCGAUGCCAGAUCAUUCCUCUAUGGAAUAGAUGUGAACCGCUUGCCAUCAACAACCACCCGUGAAGAAAAAGUCAGUGUUUCAUCACCAAACAACACGAUUUCCAAUGUAAGCAGGAAAGGAAGCGAGAGAGAACUAAAGGGAGACCGGUCAACGACGUUUUUGUUUUCAUGGAAGAAGUUGUGGCUGCUCUUGUGGGCCACGAUGAUGGGGCUUUCAGUGCAACUGUUGAUGGCCAAAGCGCAUGUUGCGACAGACACGUGACUAAGCUGAAGGACCCCUACGACUUCGUCUGGCUAGAGCUCCACCGGUGUGUCGUGAAUUAUAGAGUGUUGGCCUGCACUGCCAUCAUCGAGCUGUGCAUGUACUGAACAUGUUGCCCACUGCAAAUGGUGGAACUAUUGAGCUGCUUUACAUGUAGUUUUAUGCGCUUACUACAUUUGUGCCUACACAUGAAUUUUGGUUGUUAUGUUAUAUUUUGUUAUGAAGGAUGGAAGUCUAGUGGUCUGUGAAAGAUCACUUAAAAAAAAUACUCGGAAUGGUCCAAGCAUACCACCAGUGCAUCAUUUUGUGAGAGUAGAAAUGUUGUCAGGUAGCUACUUGAUAAGACCUUGUGGAGGGGGUUUUUUCCUAAUUCUAAAUAGAUGGGGUAUUGGGUCACUACUGGCUAGUCAGGGCAGUAAAAUUAUGGACACCAUGCAUGGGCAUCCUCUAAUGCACCACCCAAAGGGCCAAGUGUUUGUUUGUUUUUUUUUUUAAUUCUUCAUCAUUUAAUGUUAAAUAUCUAAUUUUCAUAAAAAUUCCAUUCCCAAAUAAUUUUCUAAAAUUCCAAUUUUCAAACUUAUUUUUUUUUUAUAAACUUCAUUCUCGAAUAAUUUUUCAAAAUUCCAAUUUUCAAAUUUAUUUAUUUAAUAAUAAUAAUUAUUAUUGUUAUUUUAUUUUUAUUUUUUAUUCUAUUAUUUAUUUAUUUAUUAUUUUAAUUCCAUUCUCAAAUAAUCCUUCAAAAUUCCAAUUUUUAAAUUUAAUUUUCAAGAUUUUAAUUUUCAAAUAAUUUCCAAAACUCUAAUUUUCAAUAUAAUUUUCAAAACUCCAAUUUUUAAGUUUAAUUUUCAAAACUUUAAUUUUCCAAGCUUUAAUUUCAAAUUUAAUCUUCAAAAUUUCUCAAAUAAUUUUUAAGACUUCAACUUCUAAAUUUAAUUUUCAAAAUUCCAAUUUUCAAAAUUCCCAUUUUCAAAUAAUUUUCCAAAAUUCCAAUUUUCAAAUAAUUUUCAAAAUCCUAAUCUUCCAAAUUUAAUCCUCAAAAUUUCAAUCCUCAAAUAAUUUUCAAAAUUCCAAUUUCUUUCAAAUUUAAUUUUCAAAAUUCCCAUUUUUAAAUUUAAUUUUCAAAACUCCAAUUUUCAAGUAAUUUUUGAAACUCCAAUUUCUUUCAUAUUUAAUUUCCAAAACUCCAAUUCUUAAAUUUAAUUUUCAAAGCUCCAAUUUCUUUCAAAUUUAAUUUUCAAAACUCCAAUUCUCAAAUUUAAUUUUCAAAACUCUAAUUCUCGAAUUUAAUUUUCAAAACUCCAAUUCUCAAUUAAUUUUCAAAACUAUAAAUUCUUUCAAAAUUAAUCUUCAAAACUCCAUUUCUCAAAAUUCAUUUUCAAAACUCCAAUUUUCGAAUAAUUUUCCAGACUUCAAAUUUUGAAUAAUUUUCACAACUCCAAUUUUCAAAGAAUUUUCAAAACUCCAAUUCUAAAAUUUAAUUUUCAAAAUUUCAAUUUUCAAAAUUUUUUUUUUUUUUUUUUAAGAAAUUCAGUUCUCAAACAAUUCUUCAAAAUUCCAAUUUUCAAAACUUUCAUUCUUAAAUAAUUUUCCAAAAUUCCAAUUUUCAAAUUUAAUUUUUAAGAAAUCCCAUUCUCAAAUAAUUCUUCAAGAUUUAGUUUUCAAAAUUUUCAUUUUCUAAUAAUUCUUCAAAAUUCCAAUUUUUAAAUUUAAUUUUCAAGAUUUCAAUUUUCAAAAAUCUAUUUUUUUUUCAGAUCGUUUUAAUUCCACUCUAGUUUUCAAAUAAAUUUAAGUCCUCAACUUUCAUCCUUCAUUAAGGUUUUAGGUCACCAAAAAUUCCGAUUUUAAAUAAACUUGCUACAUUUCCUUUCAGGUAAGCAUUUUCACCAAUUUUCUUUGAUUUUAAAAUAAUUUUCUAUUUCUCUUGAUUUUAAAUAAGCAUGAAUAUGAUUUUCAUAAUUAUAAAAUAAUGGAAUUUGUGAGAUUAAUUCAUGUAAAAUCAAUUGGGCUUUGGUGGGGGCCCUAUAUACAAGUUCUCUUUUAAUUGUCAACUAUUAUGCUUAAUGAAUGUUGUUUGAUCUUAGUCUUGCUCUUUGAUAUGCAUGUGAUAAUUUUUAUACUUGAGCUAACCUUGUUUCCAUGAUAGCGCUUUAUUACCCAUAGCCAAGGUACGCUCCCACUCCCACUUCAUUUAUUUAUUCGUUCUCAUAGUCGAUUUGUUUUAUUAUUUGAUCAUUUCAUUGGUAUCCAUUGAUUUCCUUAUCAAUUGUCACACUUGCUUCACCUUAUUUAGUAGAGACCUUAUUGUAGGGCUUAGAGGGGUGCUACGGCUCACCACCAUACCUUCCCAAUGAGUAACCUGACCCCCGAACCCGACUUUGGUUUGUCAUAGACUGUCUUUUCCAAAUAAGAAGUCACAUUUAGGGUUUUCUUUCUUAUUUUGUUUUCCCUUUAAAAAAAAUAAAACAAAAAUAAGUGGCGACCCUAGGUCUUUUCCAAAAACUAAAAUCAAAUUUUCACCAAAUAAAUAAAAAACGAGUUUUGCCAUCGAGUGGGAAUGCUUCAUGUGAAAUACGAGAUCCACAAAAUGGCGACUCCACUAGGGAGGUUUGGAGGGUCAGGCUUGAACUUAGGUUGAAGCAAAUUUGGUGUUUGAUUAGGCGAUUGAUGGAUACCUUACCUUUGUGUUUCUCUAUGCUUGAGUGAUCAUAGCACAUUAAGGAUUUUGAUAUGGUGAUUUUCUAUGCUUAAUUUCUAUAUCCAUUUGCGACAUUAACAUGCUAAUGAUAUUGAUUGAUCUGCUUGCUUAUCUUAGCAUAUUGAUUUUGCUUUAGCCAUGAUUAUCCUGUUCACUUUAGCAUGUAUAUUCACAUUGUUGUAUAUCUUGUUUGUCUUAGUGUUGAUUCUCCUGCUUGUAUAUUAUCUUGAUCAUCUUUGGGCAUGCUAUCCUUGUUGCUAUUCAUCUUGAUUGUCAUAUUCUCAUUUAGCUUAUGUGUGGACAUGGAUGAUAUACUUGCUCUCUGCUUGACUACCUGUUGCAUAACUGCUCUUCUCCUAUAUGAUUGCAUGUUGCUUGUCUAUGUGGGUCGCACAUCUAUCUCCUUACCUCCAACCCUCUAGUUUCGGUCAUUCCCUUUUCUUUUGGUUCUUACAUUUGCAAGUGUGAGACCUUGUGUGUGCUUGUUUCUUUGACCAAGCUAGUAGUUAGGAGUAGGGUUUAGUGAUGGGUUAUAUCGAUGUUAGGGAGCAUUCUGGAGGUGGCCGACACAUUGAUGCUGAUUGGAGUUUGACCUUUGAAGACUUGUUUAGCCUAGAGCUAGAUUUUAGGAUAUUUGUGUGACUAGUGUGUUUUCUUUUUAGUUUCAUAGGAUUUUUGGAUGCACCCACACCACUCACUAUACACUUUAGUCGACCACUAAGUGUUGAGAGUUGUGAGAGUUUUCACUAUAGGAAACCCCCUAGGAUGUCGAGGUAGUGCAUGUGUGGAGGUGAUGACCACUUUGCAUGGAAGCGCCCCGUCUCUUCGGAGACGUGUAGAGGGUUGCAUACCGUCGAAUGGUAUGAUCACUUCUGCUAGGGAUCCUUUAAAGUCCAUCAUUUUUCUUUUUAGAGCCACCUUGACCUUGUAGGUUGAGCCUUAGAUCCUUCAAUUAGGACUUCCUUCCCUACACGUGGGUGCAUUUGAGAGCUUUUAGAGCCUCUUUAGUUACAAUUUAGAUCCAAUACUCCAUUUUUUUGGUCUUCAGUUGAGAGUGCUUAGAGAUAAGUGCAAGUUUGAGUAUCAGUUAGACCACCUUUUGUCAUGUAAUGUUGACUUUUUCUAGUAUUUUGUUGAGUUUAGCAUAUUUUCUCCCUAGGGCUUUAGAUAGUUUUCUUUUCUUGAGCUGACAUUUUCUUUCGGUUUGUUAUCACUUUCUACUUGACGUUUUGGGAUAUGCUCAUUGAGUACGCUUACCUUUUUAUAUUCUUCACCUAUCAUGGGCUUAAUACUUCAUUUUUUGGUUGACUUGCCUGAUUCUAUUUUCAACCUGAUAUUUUCAUUACAGAAAGGUGAGAGGCAUGUUUUCACAUUCACACCAUUUUUGAGAGGUUCACCUUUAUCACCUUAUCAUUUUUUUUAUUGAGCUUGGGUUGAAAGUGAAUUAGAGUUAUUUUGUUAUAGAUGGAGUAUCGAUCUCAUGACAAUGUUGUUUUUCACGCCUCAUUCAUUUUCUAGAUUAUUGAUAAAAAUUCUUUAGUCACAUUUGUAGUCAUCUCACGAUGGACACCUUUAUGACCUUAGAGUUUCUAUCAUUUAUCUAGGUUUAGAUUGCCAUCACAGGACCAUAUAUCAUAUGAUGUGUUGUACUUUUGAUUUGAGACAUCUUUUCACUUAUACAUCAUGAUCACUAUAGCCUAACCCAUCAUGGAGGAUAUUGAGCCUAUUGACCUAGGAUCAGAAGAUCAACCUAGAGAAUUCGAGACUGUGACCCGUUUCACCUUCUGAUCAGAGCAGUACCAUAUCCAUAUCUUGACUCUAUAGACUUGAUAACCUACCUAUUUUAAGCCUGACAUGACACCACCCUUUGGUACCAUUAUACAAUUUUACCAUCCUUGUUUGUCUUAGCGCACUAUAGUACCAUUGCCUAUUCUUUCCAUCAUUUUCUUCGAUCUGACUAGGUAGAGUCCAAGAUGGUUAGACCUGAGGUGAGCUCUGCAUGAUGAUAAAUGGAUCAUGAUGAGAGAGUGGUUUGAGCAUUUGAUGAUGUUGCUGAGCCAGAGAGGUCAUCAUGGAGUAUCCAGAUCUGAGUCAUCACAUAUGACUUAGGGGUUUUGGUAAAAUCAGAGAGAUUGAUUUUAUGAGACGAUGGUGAGUGACAUGUGAUGAUAUAGUGAGGUGAUUGUAAAAAAAAAAUUGAUGAUUAUCACAGAGCAUCAAUGGGAGCUUUCACACGAUUUCAGAGAGGUUGAUAUGUCUAUGUUUGAUAGAUGCCAGUAUUUAGUAUUGACCAUGUGAGAUUUUGAAAGUACGAUAUUGGAGGUAGUGGUCAAAGGAUGGGUGGCCAUCAUUUCAUGAGCCCAUUUACCCUAUCACCCUUACAUAUAGAGUUACCCGUUGCUAGCCCAUGCAGCCUCGUGCGAGCACCAUAGUCUUUUCUUUCAUCACCUCUUUUACCUAUUACACUGGGUUGGGAACCCUCUAGUGCUUGCAUGCUUUGAUUAGAUACGUCAUGAGUUCUACACCUAAAAAACAUAUUCAGACCUUAUCACUCACUCUUCAUUAUGAUUUUUUCCACUUUGACAUCAUCUUAUCACUCUUUUUCGACAUCACAUAUCACCACUUGUGAUAUUCGUUCUCUUUCUUUUCUCUCAUCAUUGCUUACUCAACAUUAUCCUUGUUUCACCUUGAGUGGUGGUUUUUCACAUGUCACUACAUGGAGGAUUGUCACAUUCUUUCCCCCCGUUCACCCUAUGGGCAGUGGUUUAGAGAUCUUAGUUUAAGAGGUUGUCUUGUUAGUGAGAAUUCAUGUUACAUCCGUAUGUGGAGAGGGUUUGAUCAUUUGGGUAUGUAUUUUCAUGGGAGGUCAUUCAUUAUUGAUCAGAGUAUACGCCAAAAAAAAAAACCUAAGAGAUAAAAUAUAGCGCAUUCUUCAUUGUAUCAUCCUCCAUUGAGCACAUGUAUGGAUAUGCUAGUUUGCCUCAUUGGGUUUAUGUGUUAGAGAGAGCUUGUAUGAGAGCUUAUUUAUGAGAUUCUAUCUUGGUAUAUAUUUUGGGUGAAAGUAUGAGCCGCCCAUUUUAUUUUUGUGAGAAAGACGAGCGACCUUUCUUUAAGAUUUCUAAAUCCUUGCCCUAUUCGUCAUUACAUCCAUUUUUAUGUGACUUAUCUACAUACUUUGAUGCAGGUUGACCAUCACUCACUUUCUAUCUUUUUUCCUUCUUCUAUCUUUAUUUUAUUCCUUCAUUUCACUCUACCUCAUCUGAUUUCUUUCUUUUAUCACCCUGCAUGAUGUUUGACUUGGGUUCAACAUCCACACUUUAUUCUUGUUUAUUCAGUAUGUCCAUUCCUUUAUCAUCACGUUUUGUAUAGGGAUCCUUAGGUCCGCGACUUAUGGUUUUUCUACGCAUUGCAUCUCAUGCAUGAGGGCUAUGAAGAUUAUAUCAUUGGGAUCUUUGAGCCUAGUUUCCUUUCGUUUAUUUCACCCUAUUGCCUUAGCCUAUGUUAUGUCCCAUGUCUUAAGACCACCCUGAGACCAUGAUUUCACACAUUGUACUUGACAGCUCACACAUGGGUAAUACUUAAGAUUGGUUGGAGAUUAUUUCUUAGAGCAUGAUGGAUGAGGAGCUAUGAUAUGAUUUACACUGGGGCAUACCUCUCUUAUCAAUGAUGGAUUUUCAGAGGUGAUAUGAUCUACACUGGGGCAUACCCCACUCAUCGAUGACAGUUUUCUUUCAAGAUGAUGUCUUGCACUGAGGCAUAGUCAGUUCACUUCUUCACUUAGAUUAUGAUGGAUUAGGAGUUGUGGGAUGACCUUACACUGGGGCAUAACCAUUUUAGAUAGCAUUUUUAUUGGAGAUAUAGUCACUCUACUCGAUAUUCUACAUUAAGACACACUUCAUCCAUUGAUGGUUGAUUUUUGAGAUGAUGGUUUAUUUUGAGACACAGUUGCUUCAAAGAUCAGGCAUGGUAGACAUAGCCACUCUAUUCUUUCUUGUGGAGCAUGAGGUGAUUAGGGUCUGUUGAGGUUAUAUUGGUAUAUUCAUUUUCAGCAUUGAGAGAUGAGAUUGACCUUAUUUUGAUGACACAUACUAAGACAUAGCCCUUUCAUUGGCAAUGGACUUUGAUUUAUCUUGGAGUGUAGACACUUCAGAUGGUUUAUAUUGAGGCAUAGCCACUUCAUUCAGAUUCAUAGAGCAUGGGUAUUCUAAUUUAUAUGGAUUAUGUUGAGAUGUUUCCAUUUUUGGCACCAUGAGUAGAGAUUGAUUGAUUUGUUGACAUACACUACGCAUGGUCCUUCUCAGCAGUUGUUGACUCAAAUACACUACUUUAUAUUGGGGCAUAGCCAUGAUAAAGAGCAUUUUUCAUUGAAGCAUAACCACCCUAUUGGAUCUUUUACAUUGGGGCAUAUCCAUCUUUUGGAGGGAUAUUAGAUUGAUUCUUUACAUUGGAGCAUGUAACGGGUGAUAUAGCAAUCAUUGGAUUGUUUCAUUUUGUCAUCAUUUGCAUACUAGGGCAGAGCCACCUAGUCGGAUGUUUUGACAUCGAGACUUGACUUUCUAUUUAUGAUUGCUGUUUUUUGAUAGAUUAUGGAGCUAUUGACACCUUGGGUUUAGUAUUCUCAACAUACUUGGAUGAUCUCAGAUACCUACCUAACUUUCAUUUCGUACUCAGACAUUCCACCGGUGAUGCUUUCAUAUGUAUAUCUAUCCUACCAGAGCCUAAUCAUUUCCUUUUAUCCCACACAUCUCACUGUGACACAUGACCUCACACCCUUCUCUUGAUUAGGAGAGGAUGUAGAUUACUCCUGGAUUUCUUUGGUUGUGCUUUCAUACAUCUUUUGGACUUUAGGUUCAACAUCUUUCAUGAUGGCAAAGCCUGAUAGAUUGUCGAUUUAUUAGUGAUGAUGCUCACAUUUUGACAAUUGGCAUAUUGAGUUUUGACUUGCUUACACUUUAUAUUCCGAGCAUCGAUCAUCAUUUGUUUUUAUCUACCAGUUAGUUUUGUUUUGUUAGCAUGGUAUCAUGAUACAUGGUCCUGUUUGGCAUUACCUAUUUGAGAUUGGACAUUUUCAUUACAUGAUGGAUGAGCAUAUUUCAAAGUACACUAGUUUUAAGGCAUUUUGUGUCUCUUUUUGUCCACCAUUACAUGUUGGGGCAUACUAAGAGCACCAGACCUUUCAGUAGACUUUCAUUCACCUUUUGAUCUAGUUGUUGACCCUUGUGAGUUGCAUACUGGGGUAUACUCUCCUUCCCUAGGAUCAUCGGACCUUUCAUAGGCUUCAUUAUCUUUUGGCCUUGUUGUCGAUCCUUAUGAGUUGUCAUACUGGGGCAUAUCUGUAGACCCUCAGUUUUGUCCCUUUAGCACAUGUCUUUAAAUUCAUUUUUUUAAUGCUCCAUAGUAACUCCUUGGUAGCCCAUUACUAUUCAUACGGCUUACCUUUUUUUUUCUGAGUCACCUCGGAAACUUUGGUUGAGGGAUUAUCUGACCUCUUAUUGCGACCUUUGGCAACCCUAUUUUAGACUUAGGCUUUUCAUUCAUUUUUAAGAUAGUUUUUAGGGUAGUCUACUUAGGUCCACUUAGGCACCCUAAGCCCACUUAGGCACUUAAGCCCAUUUAGGCACCCUAGGUUCAUUUAGGCACUCUUGGCCCAUUAGGUCCACCUUGGCCCACUUAGUCUCACCUUAGGCCUGUUUAGGCACACUAGGCCUACUAAGACUUUUAUUUUAUUUUACUUAUUUUUUUUUUUUUUUUACUUGUUUAGUUAUUCAUUCAAUUAUUUACUUUAAAAAAUUUUAUGUUUUUGCAAGGAAACUUAUCAUUGGAGUUUAAGGAAGGUGGGACUUUCCUUGGAAGGUUUUGGAGGGGAAUUUGAAAUUGGGAAGAUUGAUUUUGAAUUGGAAGAUUUAAAAAAAGGAAAAGGAGAAAAGAAGAGAGAAAAUAAGAGAAUUUGCCUUUUUUUAGAGAGAUUUAGGUUUUAGGGGGUAAUAUAUAUAUGUGAGAAAAGGAAAAGAAAGGAGCAGCACGCAUCACAGGAUUUUUUUUUAGAGAGGGAGGAGGAGGAAGAAAGAACAAGCAAAAAGAGGAUUUUUUUUUUUUAGAGAGGGAGGAGGAGGAAGAAAGAACAAGCAAAAGAGAAAUUUUAUCUGGGAAUUGUCUUCAGAAGGAAGAGAAAAGAUAGCCAGAAGCCGAGCCAUUGCAGCCAAGACUGCCCAGGUGCGUUUUCAGCUAUUUCCUAUGCUUCAUCUUAUUCUAUUCUUGAUGAUUCUUUGAUGGUUUUGAGUAUUUAUUUUGUUGAUUGGGUCUGAACAUCGGAUAUACGGACAUCUUGUUGCUUGUUGCUUUCUAAGUUAUGGAUAGACUAGAUCUUACCCUGUUCAUAUACUGCAUCUUUGGUCUUCCUUGAGAUUCAUCUUCAAUAUGAUUCAUCUUCAUUACGUAAUAUAUGAGAAUCAUGUUUUUGCCCCCUGCUUCUUUCACCUGCUUUUGGCCCUUUGAUUAAAACAUGAAAAGAGACCUCAUUUAGUAGUUUGUUUGCCUGCUUGGCUCCUCUUGGGUCAUACCUGUCCUCUAUUCAUGGAAGCCAUGGGGUCAGAAUUUAAAAUCCAUUGGGUUUGGGGGGAAUUCUUGGUUUGUCUUGAGGAGAGGCAUAGAAGAAGGAACAGGGUAUGGGAGUGUCCCAGGCUCACAGGAAGAAGUCUAACCAAAGAUGAAGAUGAUGAUCAAUCGUUUGCAGAUGAGGAAUUCUUAUUUCUCCUGUGAGCAGUACUUUCAAGCAAAACAUGUUGCACUGGAUUCAGCUUCAGAUGAUCCUAUAGGGCUGUCGGUGACUGAAAUGUAUGGGAGGACUGAAGAAAAUGAUUUAAUAGCUCGAUAUGAUGGAUAACUAAUGGAUGAAGAGGAACUGAAUUUGAGGCGUGCAGAAUUUGUAUGGUAGGGAUUUGUCACUCAAACAAACGAACUUAUCAUGUUAAAAGAUGGGAAAGUUAUGAACGAUUGUGAGAGACCAAGGCUUGAUGAUAAUUGUAUGGAUGACGAUCAGUAUGGUUCUGUUAGAUCGAUUGGCAUAGGGAUCAACAGUGAUGCUGCUGACAUUGGCAGUGAAGUACGAGGAAAUUUGGCAAGGCAAUACAGGGAGUAUUUGGAGAAUUUACUUUCUUGGACAGCAUUGAUAUCUGGGCUGGUACAAAGUUGGGAACUGGGUUGAUUCGUUUUAUUUAUUUAUGGAAAUGCGAAGCAAGGGGAUUGUAACAGCUUAUGCAUCUCUGUACUUUAAACACAAGUUGUUGAUGCUAAUGUUUAGGCUCAGUUUAUAUAUCCGUCUACAAUAUUCAAUUCUUGUUUCUUUGCUGCGAGUUCUCCAUGAAUACUUUCAAGAUCUUUUGCUCCAACCAAUACGCCAAAUCAAGCCUGAUGAGAGUGGCUAUCUUGAAGGCUCUCCAUUCUUUUUUUUUAUUCUUGAUGGAAAAGUGUAUAGCAUGUCUUUAUACCAUUUACAGAGACAGGUUGUUUUCCUUUUCCUAAGGUAUUCCUUCAGUUUGAUCAAUCUGAGGGAAGAAAUAAGAGAGCAAUGUGCAUAUGCAGCUACCAAUUCAUGCGUGACAUUUGACCUAAAUUCAAAUUUGGAAUGUUGUAGUCAAAAGAAAGGUCUAUCAGAGCUUUGUGAGCGGCUUCAAGGACAUAUUCCUAAGUGUUUAGUUGUGGACCAUGAAACGUAUUAGACAGUUGUUUCUUAGAUAUGUUGAAGCUCUAUUUUCUUUGCUCCAACUUCUUCCUCAGCAUCAUGUGACACGCUUGGUUCAGGGUUUUGAUGUUAAUCUACAACAAAAAUUAGUUCAACUAACACUGCACCAACCUGAUUGUUCCGAGGAAGGUGAUCGGCUUGCUACUAGGUUAAUAUCUUCCCUAAUGGAGUAUUACACUGGUCCUAAUGACAAGGUAAUAGUUGAUGAUAUUGGCGCAAGAUUGCGAGAGGGUUGGCUAGGCUAUUACAAGGGGACUGAUCACAAACUUUACUUAGUUGUGGAGUUUCUUGAGAAAGCUGUUGUAACUUCUAACACUGAAGAGAACGAAAACCUUGCUAGAGAGGCCUUCGAUCUCUUGAAUAAAGUUCCAGAACCUGCAGAUUUAUGAGCAGUUUGCAAAAGGUUUGAGGAUUGGAGAUUUCAUGAAGUUGUGGUUCGUUUACCACUACAAAAAAAGGCACAAGCCCUUGUCCCUGAAGGUGAUGCUUCCAAUGAGCGACUUGAUGUAGAAAUUCGAGAACAUACACUUGCUUAGCUUGAAUGGUGUUAUGAGAUUAUCAUCGGUGCUUUGUGUUCUCUAAAAAAGGGUGAGGCUUUUCUAGAAGGAACUUGGAUCUCCCGUGAGUCCCACUGCCUAAUCCACCCUUGAUCAGGCUUCCCGAGACAUAUACAUACGCCAAACUGUCCAACUCAGUGUUACAUCAUCUGACAGUCUUUCAGAUAUUGUUUCAGUAUAGAUCCAAAAUAUGUUAGGCCUCUUGCAAUUCAUGCCCUUGAUGAUCCCUCCCAGCAUGAAGGACUUGCUAAAGCUAGUGACUCUUUAUCAGCAUGUUGCACACUAAUAAGCUUGCUUGAAGAUUAACCAACAUAUGCUACUACCACUACUUGCAGCUGGAGCAGGAAUUACCUUAGUUGAUUCAGUAGUAAUGCCUCGACGUAGCACAUAGCAGCAUCAAAGAGCAGCCAGGACCCACCAAUGGGUUUUGCAUUGAUAAGAUCUUCAGGUCAUGAUACUUCAAAGUGUCCUAUGGACUUUCGUGUUUUGGAAAUGUGGCCAUUGCAGCUUGUUAUGCCCAGCGUGUACAUGAAUUAAAGCGUGUGCUAGUCAUUGAUUUUGAUGUUCAUCAUGGGGAUGGAACAAAUGAUGAUUCUAUGAUGGCUCAAAUAUAUUCUUCCUUUCCACUUAUCAAAAUGGAAGCUACUUUGGUACUAGUAAAAUUGACGAGGUAAGGUCAUGACAGUGGCGAAGGUUGACGACACCAAUUAUUAAAUGAGAUGUGCAGUGAAAGAGGUAACAAUGGGGAAGGUGAUCUUUGUCAUGAUAAGGUUUUUUUGAAGGUCACGAUUCAUGUUUCAAACGAUCAGAAGUAUGUGAUAAUUUUGAAGUGAAUCGGAAGUCAUUGUCAAGGAGAACAUGAAGGCUUUGAAGUUAUUGGCAAUACAGAGGAUUCUCAUAACCUUAUUAUGGAAAAUCUGCCCAUAAGCGACAUGGAUUGGUUCAAUCAGUUUUGACUUCCUUUUCAACUAUCAUAAAAUUGUUUUACAAUUAAUAGGGCUCAUGCUUCAUUGGUAGAGACUGAUGAUGAGGGAUUUAAAGCAAGACAAAAGAGGGAAUUCUGAGGACGUUUGCUGGUCAUCAGACUUUUGGGAAUAUUAUCGUAUUUGCUUUAUUGAAAGACUAGAAACUGAUGGAAACUUAUCUUCCUCACUGUCAUAUAUCACUGCUCUAUAGGAGUCUCUUACUACUGCUGGUGGGAAGUUCAUCUUUGUGCAAAAGCUUCGUGACUUUGUUACAUGUGACGUGUUGCAGCAUAAGGCUUUUCUUUUUAUUGAGGGACUUGAAAAGCAAAUACAGAAGCUUCAUGAGGAGCGUGCAUCAGUCAUCUUAGAAAGGAGAACUGCUGAUAAUGAUGAGAUGAUCGAAACACAAGCAUCCAUUGACGAUGCAAUGUCGGUCUUCACUAAAAAUGGUUCUAAAAAGGCAGCGGUUGCUGCUGCUGUUCUUCUGAGAGAACUGAACUGAAUGGCACACCAGCAUACUAUUAUUACCCAAGAGCAUCAGCAGAACAUGAACUCUUAUCAUCUCAUCAUGGAGCAGCCUCUACGCUCUCUACAAGGCCCCUGGUUGAUACUAAUAUGGGAAUAUCACCUCCUGACACUCAUAAACCACCCUCUACACUCAUUCCAUAUGAUGUGGAUUUAAGACAUCCUCAAACUCCAUCAGCUGCUGAAAAUGCCUUUAAUGGAAAUGUCGAAGUCCAUGUCCGGGAUUAAGUUUCUUUGUUCAUUUCCACAGGUGUAUGAAGGUUUACAUAUAGUUGGUUUAUAUUUGAUCAAAAGCUAAUCUGAACAGUGCUAGACUCGCUUAUGCAGCCAUGCUGGACAUUAGAAACUUGGUGCCUGCAGGCCACGACUCCACUUAUUCGUGGCAGAAAUUCAAUCACCCAAUAGACACAAUAUUACCCACCCGGAUACUGAAUCAAGGCAGCAAACUUGCAGCUCUUUUCUCGGAGGUGAAUUAUCCAAGUGGGAAAUCCAUGAUCAUAUUGCACACUGACCAGAAUCUCGUGUUUUACACCACUGAUUUCUUAAUAGAUUCCGCAAAUCCAUACUUCGAAUCGUAUAAAACAAGAAAGUUGCUUUGAUGCUCCUUCAAAAUCUUGUCUAAAAGAAUCUUCAAGCAAACCUUUGGUCUCAGAGUUCCCAUUGCAGCCAGCUAAAAAAAGAAAUUAGAGAGUCCUAAACCAGCAGUAGAUCCAUCAAAACCAAGUUCAGUUAUAGAGGCCUGAUCAUGGCUUACUGACUUGAGAGGAAGAGAUGGUUUGAAUUUGUUCUUACUUGUAUAAACUGUUGAAGAUAUAACCUCAAGACACGAUCCUGCAUCCCCACAGAGAGAAUCGAUCCAACCUCUGAACCACUUAGCAUUAGAACUCGCUUUAGAAGAAAAUGAGCUUUAAAGCACUUGCCAAAAUUCAGAAGGGGCACCACACACAUACAACUUGGAGAUGUUGCGACAGCCCGUGUAUUUAUUUGAAAAGCUACAUCAGUGAAUUUUCCCAUGCGAGUUAAAGAAGAUCAGUUAGUGAUUCAUGCCCAAUUGGUGUCUUAGCUGAUUCGUGUCCAGCUGGUGCUCCUUGAUUGAGGGAGUAAUAAAAAAAAUUUAUAACCUAUUACACCAUUUACUAGGGUAGCAAAGACAAAGCUACUAUAGCAUAGUGGUUCUAGGAUCGUUCACUAGGAUGGGUUUUCACUUCACAAAUGAUAUUAAUUCAAAGUGAGUUGGUGCCUUUUCAUUUCAAGGUUAGCUUUAAAAGAAAACAUAAAGAUGUUUGAAUGAAAAAGGUUUGGUUUUAAACUAACCAAAAAUAGUAACUGAUUUUUACUUACAAAGAAAAAUGUUUCUUGGAGUUUCAGAUCACUAGGCUCAGAUUCCUCAUACAAAAAGGGAGUUCCGGUCACUUGUUUCUUUUCCUCGCAUUAGAGAAUUAACAUAUAGUUCCUUCUCCAACCGGUGUUGUACAGAUGCUUCCCAUUAAUGGGUUCAAACACUAAAUCCUUCUCACUGAUGCACCUUGCAAUGGCUCAUUCCUCUCACCUAGCACUUGCCAUUCAAGAUGAUCUUUAACCUUGGAUUACCCGUCAAAAGCUCGCAAGAGAUAACUAAUGGAUGUCUCCUUGGAGUCCAAAAGCUUACCAAGUGUUGACUAUUCUAGAAAAUCCUACCUUCAAGUCACCUCCCAAAAGCUCACAAGAGAUAAACUAGUGAAUCUCCAUGAACGGAGAUCACUUGCCUUACCAAGUGUUGGCUCAGGUGAAUUAAAGGCGUUUUAAGUUAACUAAAAAGAUAAAAACCAUUAACGAGCCACACUUUCUUUUCAUUAAAAACUAAAACAACAAAACUUCCAAAUUAUGCAUGUGGAAACUUACCCGGAUUUCCUCACUCCAAGAGACAAAAAGCCUAGCCUCUCAUCCUCUGAGGAAAAAUCCUCAGAGUUUGGUUAGCAAGAAAAUGAAAAUGAAAAAGAAGGAAAAACAGAGCAAGGCUCUGUAACUUCUAUAUAUUUAUAUAUCUAUAUCCCGUCGGAUUACAUGAUGAUCUAUAUUACAUGAUUUUCUGAGAACAAGCUCCCUAGAGCUAUAUAUAAAGAAAAUUACAAAACAAAAUAUCUGAGGUUAUUCACCCCUUUUCCAAACUUAAUAACUAAGGAAUCCUAUAAUUGGUGGGUUACAAGGAGAAAAUAGGGAUUUAGACAUAAAAAAUCUAAAGCAAAAUAUCCAAAAGUGUCGAUCGCUAAUAUCGGGAAGCACUAAGGACCAUUUCGCAGGUGAAAACGAGGUCUGCGAGAUUUCGCAGACGCACAAAAAGAGUUGCGAAAUCACUUCGCAGCAAAAGGCUGAUUUCGCAGCGCUGCGAAGUUGUCUUUCAGCUUGCGGUGUUCGGCUUCCAACGUGUCGCAAAUAUCGGGAAACUUCAGGAGGAAUUCCACAGUACUGUGCAAAAUGGCUGCGAAAUUCUCGCAACAAAAGGUUGAUUUCGCAGCCGUGCAAAAAUCUUCCUUUAGCUUGGAGUGAUCUGCUUGCAAUGGUUGUAACUCCUUCGUUUCAAAUACAAAUUGCACACCGUUUGAAGCAUUGGAUUGUUGACUUCCUGAGAUUUGAAACGGUAUAUAGAAUGUAGAAAAUGGACUUCGGGAAGUGCUCCAAAAGUGCGAAAGAAGAUUGCAGAUGCUGUCCUCUAUUUUCUUCACUCUGUUUUUCCUCUCUCCGUUGUUCUUUCCUUGCAUACUUUGAAUGACUUUGGCAAAGGGCUAUGGAGCUCCAAAGCUUGGUUCUUCAUGAAUUUGAGUUUUCCAUUGCUUUGCCAUGGAUUCCAAAUAACUCUCCUCAAUCUCGGAUUGCUUUGGUGAUCAAAAAGCUAUCAAAAUACCAAAACUUAACACAAUUUGAUUAGAAUUGAUUGCAAAGGUCCUUAAUAUGUUAAUUGGGUUAAAAGGAAAUAACUACUACUCAAAAGUGUUUAAAAGAGUUCAUUACAAGCUAUCAAAUAGCACUUUUUGAGUAGUAAUCAAUUAGUACUACUAAAAGGGCAAAAGAUGAAGUUCGCGAUGAGCUAGAAAGCUCAGAUUCUGAACUACAGAAAAGUCCAGAAGUGAACUAUAAGAAAAUUGAUGAAUCAGAUGAACUUCUGAGUGAAGAUUUGAAACUUGAGAAUGAGUGGCAGCAAGUGAGCACAUGCUCUGAAAUUGUUGAAUAUAAUGUAUUUAUAGUAUAUUAUCUUUCCUUGUUAAUAUAGGUCACAUGUAUGGUAGUUAGGACUCCUAGCCUUGUAUAUAUAUAUCUCUCAAUUGUAAGUUGAGACUACAUGAAUGAGAAUCAAGGUUUUCUUCUCUCUCUCUUAACAUGGUAUCAGAGCCAGGGAAGAAAACCUAAUUCUUUCCUGUUUCCCGUGUCAUCAACUCCGGGAAACCUUUCGGUGACCAUGUUUCAUUCCGGUCACCUACCCCAUCUCCCAAUACUUUCCGGUCAGUCGGAACGUCGUUAGAAACCACUCACCGCCGGCGAAACUUUCCGGCGAACUUUCCGGUGAACUUUUCCGACGAACUUUCCGGUGACCUAUUUUUCUGACACCGACCAUACCAGAAGGAGCGCCUGGAGGAGAUCUCCAACUUUUGUGAAGGCACCGGCACCAAAAGAGCAUCCACGCGCCGGCCACGCGCCAUUUUCCAGUCGGCGGCUGUAUCUCACGCGCCGGCGCGUGAGGGCGCGUGAGGCAUUUUCCGGCGACGCGCCUCCUCCUCCAGCUUCGCCUGACACCGACCAGCCUUCCUACCUCCUUGGUUUUCCCAUCCGAGCCCUGCACGUACCUCUUUUGGGGAUUUUUGUCUCUGUCGGCCCUCCAAACAGUCUUUCCGGCGAAGCUCCGGCUACUUUUUCUCCACCCCAAUCCCUGCACGGGCCUUGGGCAGUGUUCUUCUACCUUUCUGGUGGUACCACGCUGCGAUCUGAGGCCGUCUCCCUUUGUCGGUGGUGUCACACCGCAAUCUGAAGCCGUAUUAGGGCUCUCUUCGAUCCAAACAUACUUCAUUCUCCAGAUAAGUGGAUAUGGCCCAGUCCUCUGAUUCUCCGCUGCCUCAGCCUCCGAGCUCCUCUGCAUCUCAGGCUUCUAUUACCUCUGUUACCCAACUUGGUAAUGCCUCUGCCUGCCUUACCCACACAUCUUCUCUUGGACCCUGGAUUCUAGAUUCUGGAGCUUCUGAUCACCUAUCUGGUAAUAAGGAUCUUUUCUCCUCUAUUACUACUACCUCUACUUUACCUACUGUUACCUUAGCUAAUGGUUCUCAAACUGUGGUUAAAGGUAUUGGUUUGGCCCUUCCUCUGCCUUCUCUACCUCUCACUUCUGUCCUUUAUACUCCUGAAUGUCCUUUUAAUCUUAUUUCCAUCAGCAAACUCACUCGUACUCUUAAUUGCUCUAUUACCUUUUCUGAUAAAUUUGUGACCUUGCAGGACCGGAGUACGAGGAAGACGAUUGGCAUAGGACGUGAGUCUCAAGGCCUCUAUCACCUCACCUCGGAUUCAUCUACUGCAGUUUGCAUUUCCACUGAUGCCCCUCUCCUCAUUCACAAUCGUCUGGGUCAUCCUAGUCUCUCCAAGUUCCAAAAGAUGGUCCCUCGUUUUUCCACUUUGUCGUCGCUUCCGUGUGAGUCAUGUCAGCUUGGGAAACAUACUCGUGUUUCGUUCCCAAAGCGUUUGAAUAAUCGGGCAAAGUCUCCUUUUGAGCUUGUCCACACUGAUGUUUGGGGUCCUUGUCGGACUGCGUCUACUUUAGGAUUUCAGUAUUUUGUCACUUUCAUUGAUGACUAUUCUCGAUGUACUUGGUUGUUUUUAAUGAAAAAUCGAGCUGAGUUAUUCUCUAUUUUCCAGAAAUUUUAUGCUGAAAUCCAAACCCAGUUCAAUAUUUCUAUUCGUGUGUUACGCAGUGACAAUGCCAGGGAAUAUUUUUCAGCCCCAUUUACUUCGUUUAUGUCUCAUCAUGGGAUUCUUCAUCAGUCUUCUUGUGCUCAUACUCCUCAACAAAAUGGGGUAGCUGAACGCAAGAAUCGACAUCUUGUUGAGACAGCUCGUACUAUCCUCCUCCAUAGUAAUGUUUCUUUUCGUUUUUGGGGGGACGCUGUUCUUACCGCUUGUUAUUUGAUUAAUCGUAUGCCCUCCUCUGUCUUACACGAUCAGAUUCCUCACUCCCUUCUCUUCCCUGACCAACCACUUUAUUUCCUUCCUCCUCGUGUCUUUGGUUGUACUUGCUUUGUUCAUAUUCUCACUCCUGGACAGGACAAGCUUUCCGCCAAAGCCAUGAAGUGCCUCUUCUUGGGAUAUUCCAGACUUCAGAAGGGUUAUCGUUGUUAUUCCCUUGAGACUCAUCGAUACUUUAUCUCCGCUGAUGUCACCUUCUUUGAGGACUCACCAUUCUUUUCCACCACUUUUGAGUCUCUUCCUGUUUCUGAAGUCUUGCCCAUUCCCAUUGUCUCCCCACCUGAUGCUAUGCCUCCUCGACCACUUCAGGUUUAUCAUCGUCGCC